rnacentral:rRNA from 1 species
AGCAGCCGCGGUAAUUCCAGCUCCAAUAGCGUAUAUUAAAGUUGCUGCAGUUAAAAAGCUCGUAGUUGAAUUUCGGGACCAUCAUGUCGGUCGUGCCUCGGUACGUACUGGCAUCGUUGGUUUCUCCCCUCUGAAGAACCUUGAUGUCAUUAAUUUGGUGUCGUUGGGGAAUCAGGACUGUUACUUUAGAAAAAAUUAGAGUGUUUAAAGCAGGCUCACGCUUAGAAUACAUUAGCAUGGAAUAGCGAAAUAAGACGUUUGAUUCUAUUUUGUUGGUUUCUAGGAUCGACGUAAUGAUUAAUAGGGAUAGUUGGGGGCAUUAGUAUUCAAUUGUCAGAGGUGAAAUUCUUGGAUUUAUUGAAGACUAACUACUGCG